UCCUACGGGAGGCAGCAGUGGGGGAUAUUGCACAAUGGGGGAAACCCUGAUGCAGCGACGCCGCGUGAGCGAAGAAGUAUUUCGGUAUGUAAAGCUCUAUCAGCAGGGAAGAAAAUGACGGUACCUGACUAAGAAGCUCCGGCUAAAUACGUGCCAGCAGCCGCGGUAAUACGUAUGGAGCAAGCGUUAUCCGGAUUUACUGGGUGUAAAGGGAGCGUAGACGGUUUGCCAAGUCUGAUGUGAAAGGUGAGGGCUCAACCCUUAAACUGCAUUGGAAACUGGUAGACUAGAGUGUCGGAGAGGUAAGUGGAAUUCCUAGUGUAGCGGUGAAAUGCGUAGAUAUUAGGAGGAACACCAGCGGCGAAGGCGGCUUACUGGACGAUAACUGACGUUGAGGCUCGAAAGCGUGGGGAGCAAACAGGAUUAGAUACCCUGGUAGUCC
rnacentral:rRNA from 1 species